AGUCAUUCAGCAGAGCAAGGGGCUUAACUCCUCCCAAGAACUUCAGGACCUGAUUCACUGUGCAGAAUCAGCUGUGGACACUGAAUCAGAUGAAGAUGCACAAGGUCGCAAGAGACCUGGGAAAAUGUCGGCAUCUCAAGCUGAGAAACACAUUGUGAUCUUCAAAAAGGCAGGGACUAACAUACAGGAACAUCUUGAUUCAAUUAAGGAGAGCACCCAGCCCUACCUGCUUGCUGUCGGGACAAAGAAAAGCAGCAUUCAUGGAUACUACAUCAUCCUCGACAAAAAAGCCAUA